UACGGAGGGUGCAAGCGUUAUCCGGAUUCACUGGGUUUAAAGGGUGCGUAGGUGGGCAGGUAAGUCAGAGGUGAAAUCUCCGGGCUUAACUCGGAAACUGCCAUUGAUACUAUCUGUCUUGAAUACCGUGGAGGUCAGCGGAAUAUGUCAUGUAGCGGUGAAAUGCUUAGAUAUGACAUAGAACACCAAUUGCGAAGGCAGCUGGCUACACGAAUAUUGACACUGAUGCACGAAAGCGUGGGGAUCAAACAGG
rnacentral:rRNA from 1 species